rnacentral:lncRNA from 1 species
ACUCUCUCUUUAAAAAAAAAAAAAUUCUUUGGGAUAAUAAGCAUCCCAUCACCUCUGGUUCAGUUCUCCCUUUGGUCCUCAGCUUCCUCAUUUCUAAAGUGGGAAUCACAAACAGUUUUGAAUGGAAAACUGGCAUGGAAAUUUGGAUAGAAUGAGGUAAGCAUGUAAAGUACAACCAACUUUGGCGCUUCAGGAUCUGUAGAAUCCUUUGACUGGAUGGGUAACAGGGCCAGUAAACCAAGCCUCUGCUCAGUAAAGGGAUUCCCUGACUCUUAGAACUCUCUAAGGACGUGCCCAGGCUGUGGGUAGGAAGAGAAGUCCUUUGAGUACAGCCUGGUCUCCUCUCUCGUCCCUCCCACCCUGGGACCCAGGCCAAACCUUCACAGUCCACGUGGCAAUAGUUUUCUGAGUGACUCUGAUAAUUGUUGCACCAGUAGUGGCUGUUGAUCUGGAAGAUGCCAUAGUCAGUGCUGCCAUCUGCAUUUUCAUUUAUCUUUGAGACGUUGAACUUGCUUUCCACAAAAGCCAGGCAAAUCCCUUAUGAUGGGGAGAAGAGAAUCAGGAUUUAGGGAGGACCUAGCUGAGUGCGAGAGAGAUGGCAUAGAAAGGAGGAUAAGGAUUCAGAGGAAAGGAACAAGAUCUGGGAGGCUAGAUGGAACUGGAGGGCUGGAAAUGAUCAUGGGCAUCUCAUCUUAUUCUUUGGUCCCUCCAGCCACCAAUCAAUAUAACCAGCCAUUCAUUACCCUACCAUCCACCCAUGCUUUCUGAUUUCUUGAGUAUCUACUGUGUGUCAGGAAAUAUGCAAAGCCUAACAAGGGAAAUUAACUGGGUCAACUAUAGAUGUUGCUUUCAAGGAAAUUUUAGUAUAAGAAUGAUAAUAUGUACCUUAAAAACCACAAAGCAAUGUAAAAGAGAAAGUGUUGCAAGACAGUUGCACAAAUUCCAGACCAAAAGGGAGAUGUCCCUGCCACACAGAGACAUGAAACCUUUGCACCAGCCAUUUCCUGUGUCUGGAAUUGUCUUCCUCUGGCAUUUGGUUGAUCAGAUUUUCCAUUUCAUUAAGCACUGCUCAAUGUCACUUCCUCAGAGAGUCUUUCCUUAAGUUCUCCAUCCAGAACAGUCAGUGUCACCUGUCACACACCCUACUACUUUAUUCUUCUUCAUGCAUUUAUCGCUACCAGAUGUAAUACUGUGGUGUGUGUGUGUGUGUGUGUGUGUGUGUAGGGAAGCGGAUUUGUUUGUAUCCCUAGACUCUGAAACAGUUCUUGAUAUAUAAUAAGUGUUCAAUUAAUAAUUUUUGCAGGAGUGUGAAAUGCUGGGAAAAGCUUCCUGGCUUUGAAAAGAAGAACAGGAGACAAAGAAAGAUGGCUAAAAAGCAUGGCACUUACAGUCAUUCAAGGAGUAACCCUCAUAUACUGAUGUGGAUGUUAAAUACCCCCUUUACUCUUAGUAGAGCUGGAAUUUGAACCAUCGUCUCUUUGGUCCUGAUUCCAACACAUAUUGAUCCCUCAGCACCAGGAGACCUCCCUGUGCUCCAGUGGGGUAGCCGACAUACCCCAGGGUCUGUUACCCACUGGGCUGGCAGGGAGCAGUUGGAGAUGGCACUAGGGGGUUGUGAUUCUCCAGGUGCCUUUGGCAAGACUCCUCAGUUGACCUGAAACCGACGAUUGUGAAGCAGGGCAAUUUCCAGGGUCAGAUGCUGUUGAGAGCCACAGCCAAAGGGGCCCCAGCAAACUUCCAGCUGCCAGCAAACUUCCAGCUGCUGGCUGAUGAUUGGCUCACAGCGGCCCCAGCAACAUCUAGCCGAUUGGCUCCUCUGCGGUGAUGCUCAUUGGGCUGUUCCCCUGCCCUUUCAGACCACGGAGCUGCUCAUUGGGGGACUUUUUUGGCUCCGCCCACGUGACCCAGCCAAUCGGCCUCAAGAGCAGGAGGAUUGUGGGAGGUGGAGAGAAGCUUGUGUGGGAGAGGGAGGCUUGUGGAAAGCCGGUGGUGGCAGUUGAGGCUCUGAGGGUUUUUCCUGAGAGGCUGUUUUGUUUG